rnacentral:misc_RNA from 1 species
GAUGAAGAACGUAGCGAAAUGCGGUAACUAAUGUGAAUUGCAGAAUUCAGUGAAUCAUCGAGUCUUUGAACGCACAUUGCGCCCCCUGGUAUUCCGGGGGGCAUGCCUGUCCGAGCGUCAUUGCUGCCCUCAAGCACGGCUUGUGUGUUGGGCUCCGUCCCCCCGGGGACGGGUCCGAAAGGCAGCGGCGGCACCGAGUCCGGUCCUCGAGCGUAUGGGGCUUUGUCACCCGCUCUGUAGGCCCGGCCGGCGCCAGCCGACAACCAAUCAUCCUUUUUUCAGGUUGACCUCGGAUCAGGUAGGGAUACCCGCUGAACUUAAGCAUAUCAAUAAGCGGAGGA